UGUAUAUGCUUCACGAAGUUCUCCUGCUCUUUUUUCAGCUCCAUCAAGUUGUUUAUGUUCUUCCGAAUGUUGGUUUUUCUAGUUAGCAUUCAUCUAAACUUUUUUCAAGGUACUUGAAUUAGGUUAGAACAUGUGCCUUUAGCUCAGAGAAGUUUGUUAUUACCCACCUUCUGAAGACACUUCUGUCAAUUCAUCAAACUCAUUCUCUAUCCAGUUUUAUUCCCUUCCUAGUGAGGAGUCGUGAUCCCUUGGAAGAGAAGAGGCAUUCUGAUUUUUGG